rnacentral:rRNA from 1 species
AUUGAACGCUGGCGGCAGGCUUAACACAUGCAAGUCGAGCGAGCGGCGGACGGGAGAGUAAUGUCUGGGAAACUGCCUGAUGGAGGGGGAUAACUAAUGGAAACGGUAGCUAAUACCGCAUACCAUCAGAUGUGCCCAGAUGGGAUUAGCUAGUAGGUGGGGUAAAGGCUCACCUAGGCGACGAUCCCUAGCUGGUCUGAGAGGAUGACCAGCCACCCUGGAACUGAGACCGGGCCCAGACCCUUACGGAAGCAAGCAGUGGGGAAUUUGGCCAAAGGGGCGCAAGCCGGACGCAGCAAUGCCGCGUGUGUGAAGAAGGCCUUCGGGUUGUAAAGCACUUUCAGCGAGGAGGCGUUACUCGCAGAAGAAGCACCGGCUAACUCCGUGCCAGCAGCCGCGGUAAUAC